GACGAACGCUGGCGGCGUGCCUAAUACAUGCAAGUAGAACGCUUAAGAGAGGAGCUUGCUCUUCUUGGAUGAGUUGCGAACGGGUGAGUAACGCGUAGGUAACCUGCCUUGUAGCGGGGGAUAACUAUUGGAAACGAUAGCUAAUACCGCAUAACAAUGGAUGACCCAUGUCAUUUAUUUGAAAGGGGCAAAUGCUCCACUACAAGAUGGACCUGCGUUGUAUUAGCUAGUAGGUGAGGUAACGGCUCACCUAGGCGACGAUACAUAGCCGACCUGAGAGGGUGAUCGGCAACACUGGGACUGAGAAACGGCCCAGACUACUACGGGAGGCAGCAGUAGGGAAUAUUAGGCAAUGGGGGCAACCCUGACCGAGAAACGCCGCGUGAGUGAAGAAGGUUUUCGGAUCGUAAAGCUCUGUUGUAAGUCAAGAACGAGUGUGAGAGUGGAAAGUUCACACUGUGACGGUAGCUUACCAGAAAGGGACGGCUAACUACGUG
rnacentral:rRNA from 1 species